ACUGAACGCUGGCGGCAUGCCUUACACAUGCAAGUCGAACGGCAGCGGGGACUUCGGUCCGCCGGCGAGUGGCGAACGGGUGAGUAAUGUAUCGGAACGUACCUUUCAGUGGGGGAUAACGUAGCGAAAGUUACGCUAAUACCGCAUAUUCUCUGAGGAGGAAAGCAGGGGACCUUCGGGCCCUGUGCUGAUGGAGCGGCCGAUAUCAGAUUAGCUAGUUGGUGAGGUAAAGGCUCACCAAGGCGACGAUCUGUAGCGGGUCUGAGAGGAUGAUCCGCCACACUGGGACUGAGACACGGCCCAGACUCCUACGGGAGGCAGCAGUGGGGAAUUUUGGACAAUGGGCGCAAGCCUGAUCCAGCCAUGCCGCGUGAGUGAAGAAGGCCUUCGGGUUGUAAAGCUCUUUCGGACGGGAAGAAAUUGGUGGGGCUAAUAUCCCCAUCGGAUGACGGUACCGCAAUAAGAAGCACCGGCUAACUACGUGCCAGCCGCCGCCGUAAAAC
rnacentral:rRNA from 1 species